CCCCUAGACGUUCUGGGCUGCACGCGCGCUACAAUAAUACGCACAGCGAGUAUCACCGAGCUCGAAAGGGCAAGGUAAACAAUAGAAAAGGUACUGUAAUGGUUAUAGAUCCUUGUAAUUAUUGAUCUUCAACGAGGAAUUCCUAGUAAGUAUGUGUCAUCAUCACGCACUGAAUACGUCCCUGCCCUUUGUACACACCGCCCGUCGCUCCUACCGAUUGAGUGGUCCGGUGAGGCUUUGGGAUCUGAGCGGAAAGAGCGUUUCGCUGUUUCUGCUCGGAAAACUCAGUCGAACCUUAUCAUUUAGAGGAAGGAGAAGUCGUAACA
rnacentral:rRNA from 1 species